GAUGAACGCUGGCGGCGUGCCUAAUACAUGCAAGUCGAGCGAACGGACGAGAAGCUUGCUUCUCUGAUGUUAGCGGCGGACGGGUGAGUAUCACGUGGAUAACCUACCUAUAAGACUGGGAUAACUUCGGGAAACCGUAGCUAAUACCGGAUAAUAUUUUGAACCGCAUGGUUCAAAAGUGAAAGACGGUCUUGCUGUCACUUAUAGAUGGAUCCGCGCUGCAUUAGCUAGUUGGUAAGGUAACGGCUUACCAAGGCAACGAUGCAUAGCCGACCUGAGAGGGGGAUCGGCCACACGGGAACUGAGACAGGGUCCAGACUCCUACGGGAGGCAGCAGUAGGGAAUCUUCCGCAAUGGGCGAAAGCCUGACGGAGCAACGCCGCGGGAGUGAUGAAGGUCUUCGGAUCGUAAAACUCUGUUAUUAGGGAAGAACAUAUGUGUAAGUAACUGUGCACAUCUUGACGGUACCUAAUCAGAAGGCCACGGCUAACUACGU
rnacentral:rRNA from 1 species